UGGUGGGGGCGCCAUUAUGACAGCACACUCUGCCAAAGCUGCAUCAUCAACCAACUGGGUGGGUUGCCCUAGAAAUCCUCCCUCUAGUUCCUGCCCCCCGCACAGCUCCAGCUCGUUCUCUGGUUAUUGCCCCUCUGCUCCAUCUCUGGCAUCUCUCUGGUCUGCCACAACUAAUGAUUAAUUCCUGGCAUCAUGUAACAAGCUGUGAAAGAAACUGAAAAUCCAGUCAUAAAAAAAGGACUCCAAAGGGCAGGAAUGUUACAUCAAAAUUUCCUAAGCAUAAGUAACUGCCCUCUCCCCAACCAAAAACUUCUUAGGUCUGUGGGAAGAAGAGAUGAAAGAAAGAUGGCCUUUUUACAAGAUCAGAAAAUUCCCAGGCUAGAACAUACAGUGUCAGGGCAAUCAGAGUCUGAAGUGUCAAUCAUUUUUAUUUUUUUAAGCACUUUCUUGGAUGUUUUAUGAUUUGAAUGAUUCUGUUGUGAGUGUAAAAUAAUUGGCUUUUCCAUUUAAAAAAGCAAUAAUGUGUUCUAGUAAAAAUGCUAGAUUAAAAAUACUCUCUUGUUAUAUGCCAAUAUUUUUUUCAUUUUUAUGUUUGCUAAUGUCUCGAGGCAGAUAGAAACAUCAGAUAAGCUAGAAGUGAAUUUCAAUAUAAAAAUUAUUCGUUGUACGUGAGUCAACAAUAUUCCCCACAGAAAGCUCUGCCGAGUGCUAUCAAUCUAAAAAAUAUUGCUCUAUCAAGCCAUGCAUCAUCCAGAGAGAGUUAUAAAAUAAAAUUUUUCUUGGUUUCUUUA